AGCGAACGCUGGCGGCAGGCUUAACACAUGCAAGUCGAACGGUCCUUCGGGAUAGUGGCGGACGGGUGAGUAACACGUGGGAACGUACCCUUAGGUUCGGAACAACACAGGGAAACUUGUGCUAAUACCGGAUAAGCCCUUCGGGGGAAAGAUUUAUCGCCUUUGGAGCGGCCCGCGUCUGAUUAGUUUGUUGGUGAGGUAAUGGCUCACCAAGGCUACGAUCAGUAGCUGGUCUGAGAGGAUGGCCAGCCACACUGGGACUGAGACACGGCCCAGACUCCUACGGGAGGCAGCAGUGGGGAAUCUUGCGCAAUGGGCGAAAGCCUGACGCAGCCAUGCCGCGUGGAUGAUGAAGGUCUUAGGAUUGUAAAAUCCUUUUCACCGGGACGAUAAUGACGUACCCGGAGAAGAAGCCCCGUAAUUC
rnacentral:rRNA from 1 species